rnacentral:rRNA from 1 species
UAACUGAAGAGUUUGAUCAUGGCUCAGAUUGAACGCUGGCGGCAGGCUUAACACAUGCAAGUCGAGCGGGGGAAGGUAGCUUGCUACCGGACCUAGCGGCGGACGGGUGAGUAAUGCUUAGGAAUCUGCCUAUUAGUGGGGGACAACAUCUCGAAAGGGAUGCUAAUACCGCAUACGUCCUACGGGAGAAAGCAGGGGAUCUUCGGACCUUGCGCUAAUAGAUGAGCCUAAGUCGGAUUAGCUAGUUGGUGGGGUAAAGGCCUACCAAGGCGACGAUCUGUAGCGGGUCUGAGAGGAUGAUCCGCCACACUGGGACUGAGACACGGCCCAGACUCCUACGGGAGGCAGCAGUGGGGAAUAUUGGACAAUGGGGGGAACCCUGAUCCA